UCCAACCGUAAGGAGGGGAGCGCCGAAGGCAGGGCUGGUGACUGGGGUGAAGUCGUAACAAGGUAGCCGUACUGGAAGGUGCGGCUGAAUCACCUCCUUUUAGGGAGACCUACCCACUCAGGCAACCGGUAUAGUUGAGGUUGGUGAGUCGGGUCAUCCCAAGGUCAAUCAGGUUGAGUCUUUGGCUGAACUUUCAAACCUAGGGUCCGGGGCACGGGCUAUUAGCUCAGGUGGUUAGAGCGCACCCCUGAUAAGGGUGAGGUCCCUGGUUCGAGUCCAGGAUGGCCCACUGAGCGGGGGUAUGGCUCAGUUGGUAGAGCGCCUGCUUUGCACGCAGGAUGUCAGCGGUUCGAGUCCGCUUACCUCCACCAUUUAUGCGGAUUCAGCACUUGAUGGUGGCCAUCAAACUGCUGGAUGCGAGUGCUCCAGUACCGAACCUUGACAACUGCAUAGCGUUAGAUAGUCAUCACCAAUGGAUAAGAAACCAAGGGCUGAUGGUG
rnacentral:misc_RNA from 1 species